GACGAACGCUGGCGGCGUGCCUAAUACAUGCAAGUCGAACGCACAGUUUAUACCGUAGCUUGCUCCACCAUAGACUGUGAGUUGCGAACGGGUGAGUAACGCGUAGGUAACCUGCCUGGUAGCGGGGGAUAACUAUUGGAAACGAUAGCUAAUACCGCAUAAUAUUAAUUAUUGCAUGAUAAUUAAUUGAAAGGUGCAAUUGCACCACUACCAGAUGGACCUGCGUUGUAUUAGCUAGUAGGUGAGGUAACGGCUCACCUAGGCGACGAUACAUAGCCGACCUGAGAGGGUGAUCGGCCACACUGGGACUGAGACACGGCCCAGACUCCUACGGGAGGCAGCAGUAGGGAAUCUUCGGCAAUGGACGAAAGGCUGACCGAGCAACGCCGCGUGAGUGAAGAAGGUUUUCGGAUCGUAAAGCUCUGUUGUAAGAGAAGAACGGGUGUGAGAGUGGAAAGUUCACACUGUGACGGUAUCUGACCAGAAAGGGACGGCUAACUACGUG
rnacentral:rRNA from 1 species